UUUUCCCAAAAAUAAAAUAAAGGUUGCUGCUCUGCUAGGGUUUUGCUUUUAACCCUUGAGCGCCGUCAAUUGAAGCUUCCAGAUCUGCGCCCUUGGCCCUCGCCCCUCGCCUAACUUCCGAUCUAUUAGGAAAUAAACAAGUGACUGUUAGUAGUUAGCAGUUAGUAGUUAGUAUCAGUUGUGGUUUGUUACAACAAUAGUUAAGUAACGAUAGUUUGCAUUAUAUAUAUGUACUCUGCAUGAGAAGUUGAUUAGAUUGAAAAAUACAAUUUUGUUUUCUCUUGAGUAUUCUGUAAUCUUAGCAUGGUAUCAAGAGCCAAGGUUUUCUUGGUGUUCUUAUCAUAAAAAAAGAAGAAAGCUAUGUUCUGCCCAUCUCUCAUGGCCACUGAUGCGGCAGUUGAUACACCACGUCACUCAUCCAACACCAGGGAGGCUGAACACUCGCAAGGUAAUGGUGUUCUUGGUACACCAGCAGUUCAUUACUUCUCUAAGCAUGAUACCAUAAAACUCACUUCGCACAACUUCCUCCUAUAGAAGCAUCAACUUCUGUUGAUUCUUGAAGGCUAUGGGCUUGAAGGGUUUAUGUAAGGUACCACUCCCUACCCUCCUCAGUUUGUUAUUGGUUCUGAUGGGUAGCAAAUUGAGAAUCAAGAUUUUCAUGUUCAUCGAAAGCAAGACAAGUUUCUUGCUUCUUGGCUGUUGUCCAUUGUUACGGAUGAUAUUUUGGCUCAUCUUACGACUGUUAAAAUCAGCUUUGAUCUAUGGAUUGCUAUUGAAAGAAGGUUUAGUGCAAAAUCAACCAUAAAAAUCUCAAGCAUGCGUUAUGCUUUAUACUCCCUCAAGAAAGUGAAUCUGUUUGUUAAAGAGUAUGUGUCGAAAGUUAAGCAACUUGUGAUAAUUUGACUGCUGCGGGUAGUUUUAUCUCUGAAUAGGAACAAGUGAGUGUUAUCUUUGCUGGACUCUCAGUGGAAUUCGAAUCUAUUCGAGUGUUUGCAUCUGAAACUCCCUUAUCACUUGACUUGUUGACUAAACUGUUACUUGAUUGUGAAUCACGCCAAUUAGAGUCGUUAACAGAAACUCCAUGUCAAGCGAACUUAGCAAAUCAUCAGUAAGACAACGACGAUAGUUUGAAACGGUCAGCUGAGUCUACUCGGUAUUCUUAAGACUCCAAGCCAGGUUAUAGAGCACAGGGUCGAGGUUGGUCUCGUGGCAGGUCUCGUGGAACUGGAAGGGGCUGGUCUCGUACCAGGCCACAAUGUCAGUUGUGUGGGAAGCUAGGCCACAUGGUACAAACCUGUUAUCAUAGGUUUGAUGAAACCUUUUUUGGUGUUGCAGGGGCCAACUUAGUGCAAGUAAAUUAUCAUCAGUUGCAUGGCCUGGUUGUUUGUCUUCAGCUCCGGCUUGUCAAGUGAUGUCUCAUUGCUGUGGCUCGGUUCCUCAGACUUUCUCUAAAAAUCUACCAUCUUCACAAGCUGACUCUAUAUGGUACCCUGAUUCUCGAGCAACAAAUCAUAUAACACCUGAAGUGUCCAACCUCACGACUUCUUCAUCAUAUACAGGUAAAAAUUGUGUCACUAUGGGCAAUGGUGAUUCAGUGUCUAUUGCUCAUGUAGGCUCGUCCACUCUCUCAGCUGGGGCUUGACUUCUACGCCUUUAGAAUGUCUUGCAUGUUCCUGCAGUAUGCAAGAACUUGAUGUCUGUGGGUCAGUUUGCCAAAGAUAAUAAUGUUUAUUUUGAGUUUCUCCCGGUUUUGUGUUUUGUGAAUGAUAUACAGACAGGGAAGACACUGCUCGAGGGCCACAUGCAUGAUGGGCUCUACAGGUUUCAGUUCACAAAAUCUGUUCCAAUGGCUGUUGAUGUAACCCCGAAGUCUAGUUACAAUUUAUUAAACAAUGCUCAACUCUCUUCUUCUUCCUUAUAGCACAACAGACUAAGCACCCUUGCACUGGUGUUCUGGCUCGGGUGUUGAAGUCUUGUAAUGUUCCUUUCCAAAAGAAUUGUGUGUAGCAAGUGUGUACAGCUUGCCAACUAGGCAAAGCUCAUAAGCUUUCGUUUACAGCUUCCAAAACAUUGUAUUCUUUUCUUUUCAAACUUGUAGUUUCUGAUGUAUGGAGCACUGCUCGGUUACCUUCGAAUGGCUUUCAUUACUAUGUCUCAUUUGUUGACAUGUAUAGCAGAUAUACUUAGGUUUAUUUUCUCAAAACCAAGUCUGAAGUGGCUUAGUGUUUUCUAGAUUUUUAUCAGAUGAUUACAGUUCAGUUUGGUUGCUCUAUUAAAAUGCUCUAAAUCGAUGGGGGGUGAGUAUCGUGUUUUGGCUCACGAGUUGUCCCAUCUUGGUAUACAACACAAGGUCUCUUGCCUCUAUACCUCAGAGCAAAAUGGUGUUGCUAAAAGGAAACAUAGACAGCUAGUUGAUGUGGGCUUGUCUCUCUUAGCUCAUUCUAAUAUGCCUUUAAAGUUUUGAUUUUACGCCUUUAUGCAUGCUGUUCAUUUGACUAACAGACUACCUACCCUGGUCUUGUAUCACUCUAGUCCUUAUGAAGUACUUUACAAGGUCAAACCUAAUUAUGACUUCCUAAAAGUGUUUGGAUGUGCUUGCUUCCCAAAUCUAAGGCCCUUUCAACAGCACAAGUUGAAUUUUCGGUCCCAACAGUGUAUGUUCCUUGGCAGUGUUCCCAACACCGAGGGCUAUCGAUGUCUUGCAGAGGAUGGUCGAAUUUUCUUAUCUCGGCAUACCACGUUUGAUGAAACAAAGUUUCCUUUCAAAGAUGGGUUCCAAAACGAAUCUUCACUAUAGUCUGAGUGGGAUACUCCUCAUCGAUUUGUUCUUCCUUUGGUUAUGGCUGGUGGUUCUUGUGUCCCUACUACAACAUGAAUACCUCUUAAUCAAUCUAGUAUGGGAACUUCUUCUGAGUAGUUGCAAACUGACCGUGCCUCUUCUAGUGUCUCUGCUAGUCCUUCAACAACAGUUCUUGAACCUAUGAAUUUUGAUCCACCUGAUCGUACCGCCAUAGCUUAGUCACCGUCAGUACAAAUAAAUCAUCAUCCUAUGCAGACUCGUUCCAAAACUGGGAUAUUCAGACCCAAGGUCUUUGCAUCGAUCUUAGAUGAGAUUAAGCCUACAACUAUUAAUGAAGCCUUUAAAAGUACUGCAUUGACGACAACAGCUAAAGAAGAAUACAAUGCCUUGAUCACUAAUCAUAUAUGGGAUCUUGUUUCCUUACCAGAGGGUCGUCGGACAGUUGGCUGCAAAUGGCUCUUUUGUAUUAAGAGACAUGCCGAUGGUUCCAUUGCCAGAUAUAAGGGUAGACUGGUGGUCAUAGGGUACCCACAGGAAGCCGGAGUUGACUUUUAGGAAACCUUCAGUCCUGUUGUCAAACCAACCACUAUCAGAGUGGUUCUUGCGUUGGCAGUUUCCCUCAAAUGGUCUCUUCGACAAGUCGACAUAAACAAUGCCUUUUUAAAUGUCACAGCCACCAGAGUUCGAAUAAUGUGGCUUAAAUGGAGAGCCUCUUGUCUGCAAGUUGAAGAAAGCUCUCUAUGGCCUUAAACAAGCUCAUCGGGCCUGGUUUCAGAAGUUAAGGGAGUUUUUGGUUGUCAUCGAGUUUAAGGCUUCCAAGGCUGAUAGCUCACUCUUCAUUCUUCAGAAUGGUGCUAAACUAUUGUAUGUUUUAAUCUAUGUUGAUGACAUUAUAGUUACAGGCAGUGACUCCCAGGAAAUUGAUUGGUUUAUCACUAAACUCAAUGCUCAGUUUGCAUUGAAAGACCUUGGACAGUUGAGUUACUUCCUUGGCAUUGAAGUUAAGUACACAUCAGAUGGGAUGUUUCUGUCCCAAACUAAAUACUUCCGGGAUUUACUUAACAAAGUCUCUAUGGACAGGUCGAAUGCUCUUCCAACACCAAUGAUUACAACCAGUCACCUGUCUGUUGAUGAAGGGAGUCCUCUCGAGGAUGAACAUCGAUACAGAAGUAUAGUGGGUACCUUAUAAUAUGUGGUGAUCACCAGGCCUGACAUUGCCUAUUCAGUAAACAAGGUGUGUCAAUUCAUGCAUAAGCCAUUGGAUGUCCACUUCAAAGCUGUUAAGAGGAUAUUGCGGUAUCUACAAGGGAUGCUGAGCUAUGGUUUACAGUUCACUCGAGCUUCUAAGUUUUUAUUUGAAGGGUAUUCAGAUGCUAGUUGGGGGUCUGAUGUCGAUGAUCGCAGGUCCACCUCCGGGUUUUGUGUAUUUUUUAGAGGGAAUCCAGUUUCUUGGAGCUCCAAGAAAUAACAAGUUAUCUCCCGUUCUACAGCAGAGGCCGAAUACAGGAGUGUUGCACAUGUAGUUGCAGAAAUGAUUUGGAUCCAGUCCUUGUUAACUGAGUUGUGUGUUCCAGUUUUGCCCAAGGCUUUGGUCUGGUAUGACAGUUCAGCUGCGAUAGCAGUCGCAGGAAAUUCUGUCAUGCACUCCAAGUUUAAGCAUGUGGAGUUGGAUGUUUUUUUUGUCAGAGAAAAGGUGGCACCUGGAGUUCUUUAGGUUGGUCAUGUUUCAGGUUCUCGCCAAAUUGCGGAGAUACUAACAAAACCUCUAUCAGCAUCAGUGUUUAACAGAUUUUGGGAUCAGCUUCGAGUUGUUAACAUGAAUUAGAAGGGGUUUUGAUCAGCAAUGAAACAGAUAAGUAUGGGGAAUAUUAGGAAGUAAAGAAUUGUCUGUUAGUAGUUAGCAGUUAGUAGUUAGUAUCAGUUGCAAUUUGUUACAACAGUAGUUAAGUAACGAUAGUUUGCAUUAUAUAUAUGUACUCUGCAUGAGAAGUUGAUCAGAUUGAAAAAUACAAUUUUGUUUUCUCUUGAGUAUUCUGUUAUCUUAGCACGAUCAUGACAGAGUAGGCAAAGUCAGGUAAACCUCUCAUCUCCCA
rnacentral:lncRNA from 1 species